GACGAACGCUGGCGGCGUGCUUAACACAUGCAAGUCGAACGGAAAGGCCCUGCUUUUGUGGGGUGCUCGAGUGGCGAACGGGUGAGUAACACGUGAGUAACCUGCCCUUGACUUUGGGAUAACUUCAGGAAACUGGGGCUAAUACCGGAUAGGAGCUCCUGCUGCAUGGUGGGGGUUGGAAAGUUUCGGCGGUUGGGGAUGGGCUCGCGGCUUAUCAGCUUGUUGGUGGGGUAGUGGCUUACCUAGGCUUUGACGGGUAGCCGGCCUGAGAGGGUGACCGGCCACAUUGGGACUGAGAUACGGCCCAGACUCCUACGGGAGGCAGCAGUGGGGAAUAUUGCACAAUGGGCGGAAGCCUGAUGCAGCAACGCCGCGUGCGGGAUGACGGCCUUCGGGUUGUAAACCGCUUUCGCCUGUGACGAAGCGUGAGUGACGGUAAUGGGUAAAGAAGCACCGGCUAACUACGUG
rnacentral:rRNA from 1 species